UACGUAAGUGGCGAGCGUUAUCCGGAAUCACUGGGCGUAAAGGGUGCGUAGGCGGGUUUUUAAGUCAGGGGUGAAAUCCUGGAGCUCAACUCCAGAACUGCCUUUGAUACUGAAGAUCUUGAGUCCGGGAGAGGUGAGUGGAACUGCGAGUGUAGAGGUGAAAUUCGUAGAUAUUCGCAAGAACACCAGUGGCGAAGGCGGCUCACUGGCCCGGUACUGACGCUGAGGCACGAAAGCGUGGGGAGCAAACAGG
rnacentral:rRNA from 1 species